GACGUAGGGCGCGAGCGUUGUCCGGAUUUAUUGGGCAUAAAGAGCUCGUAGGCGGCUUGUCGCGUCGUCCGUGAAAACUUGGGGCUCAACCCCAAGCUUGCGGUCGAUACGGGCAGGCUAGAGUUCGGUAGGGGAGACUGGAAUUCCUGGUGUAGCGGUGAAAUGCGCAGAUAUCAGGAGGAACACCGGUGGCGAAGGCGGGUCUCUGGGCCGAUACUGACGCUGAGGAGCGAAAGCGUGGGGAGCGAACAGG
rnacentral:rRNA from 1 species